rnacentral:lncRNA from 1 species
UAACCUGUUAUUCUGAGGUUCGGUUGGGAUUUCAGAGAGAGAGAGAGAGAGAGAGAGAGAUCGUGUAACCUGUUAUUCUGAGGUUCGGUUGGGAUUUCAUUAGUAAAUCUUUGUUGGGCCGAGGUUCGGUUUGAAACUGUUUCUUUGAAACCCUUAUCGUCUUUAUGACUUAAUUAGUUUGUAAUACUUUUGACAAUCAACAGACAACCUUGAUAUUUUUGAGAUGCUUUCUUGCUAAGCUUGCAAUGCAAUGAUGGUUGUCGGGGAGCACCUAUGUUACAAAUGAAGAGUUUUGAGUGGGUUUCAGAUGCACCAUUUAUUGCUGGUACUCUGAAACCACCCUUUUUUUAGAGAUUUGCCGUGUGAGGCUACACUCUUGAUGUCUUAUCUGGAGUAUUGAUUCUUGAUUUUUUACCAUCCAACGAAUUCAAUCGUUGAUAAAGAUGAGCUAUAAAAAUUUAAAGGUUUUCACAUCCCGCCAUACUAUGUUUGUCUUUGUUUCCCCCAUAAAAUUUCUUUUCGUUGUUCCGUGGAGAUGUUUUUCCAUUCCCUUUUGUUUCUAGGAGUUAAUCACUGUAUUUAUGACUAAGAGAAACCUUUCCUUUCUCUUCCCUCUUAUAUUUUUACUGCUUUUGUUGCUUUUUGGUAGAGAAGUUAGGUUGUUUUUUUUGUAGUUAAACCCAUUGAUAAAGAGGAUCAUACCUAUGCUCGUACAUUAGUAAGUAUUAUGUCGAUUUUAUUAACAAUAAAUUGUAUUGUUCCACAAACACGCGCUUAGUUUCGAUAUCUCUCACAUCCACAUAAUUCUAAAUUAAGUUUAUAAAAGUAGUUUUUGUAAUUUUUAUCACAAGUUGAAUACGACAAGAUAGAGAAAGUUGUGUAGGAUCAGGUUUCAAUAGCUUUAUUUCUAAUGUUUUCUCUUAAUCAAUUGUACACUUUUUAAGAUUCAGAUAUAACUCAAUCAUACACUUUAUAUCUAAUGUUUCCUCUUAAUCCUAUAGUGUACCUCUCCAUGUCUAGACAACAACGCAAGAUCCAAUGAACCAACUCACUUCUGAUGCUCGGUAGCAAAAUAGUCCAUUGUUUCAAUGGUAUUAGCUCAGAUAGUUAUACAUGAAUAUAGAUCCAAACGUUGUAUUUAGAGUGAUAGCACUUAUAGAUGAUUUAAAAAAUGUCACUUAGAUGAUAAAGCAAUCUCUCGCUACAUAAUAAAUCAAAAGUUUAUUUGUGGAGUGCUCAUCCAAAAAAGCCUUAAGAACGGAUUUAAACCAAAGAUUAUAUUGAAUUCAUAAAUGAUAGACAACCAUCCACAUGAAUAGUGGUACAUAGAAUCCUAGCUAUUAACAGUUAAUCUCGACGCAAAAGAGUGUUUAAUAACCAAUGGAUAAUAUAACUAGAAAGAGAAUCUUCAUAUGUAUUGCAUAAACAUCAACAAGCUCCUUGGCCCUCCUUUGGUUGCUUACGUCUCUCUCUCUAUAUAUAUAUAUAUAUAUAUAUUAACUCAGAUUGGAAUAUGACCAAGAACCACAGUAACAGGGGUUGCAUCAGUGGUGACCUAUGAAGAACCUUCCUUUACACUAGAGUGCGUACGUAGCACAAGGCUUAUAAGGAGUUUGGGCCUUUUUUGGUGUUGAUUCUGAGGCCUUGGACAUCUUGAUAUCUUGCCCUUAACAAACUUCAUCUUUGGAAAGUAAGAAAAAUUUGAAAUGUGCAAGUGAGUUGGGUGAAGGAUGAGAGAAGAACAAUGUAGGUCAGUUUUCUGAGAUUUGAGAGAGAGGGCGUGAUUAAGUGAGUAAUGAGGAUUUGAAAGCGUGUUGUUGGAUGGUUAAGGGAAGUUACUAAUGAUUUCCGUAAAUUAGCGUGCACCACUAAAUGGAGGGAAGAGAAAAUAAUUGUUGCACGCCUCCUUUCCUCUAAGAGAAAUGAUAACUCACACCCACCGCAUGUAACAGUCCGAUUUUCGCUAGAUUUAUUUUUAAUUGUUUUAAUAUGUGUUUAUAUGUGCUUGUUGUAACGCCC